rnacentral:rRNA from 1 species
CUCUGGGAUAAGCCUGGGAAACUGGGUCUAAUACCGGAUAUGACUCCUCAUCGCAUGGUGGGGGGUGGAAAGCUUUAUUGUGGUUUUGGAUGGACUCGCGGCCUAUCAGCUUGUUGGUGAGGUAAUGGCUCACCAAGGCGACGACGGGUAGCCGGCCUGAGAGGGUGACCGGCCACACUGGGACUGAAACACGGCCCAAACUCCUACGGGAGGCAGCAGGGGGGAAUAUUGCACAAUGGGCGCAAGCCUGAUGCAGCGACGCCGCGUGAGGGAUGACGGCCUUCGGGUUGUAAACCUCUUUCAGUAGGGAAGAAGCGAAAGUGACGGUACCUGCAAAAAAAGCGCCGGCUAACUACGUGCCAGCAGCCGCGGUAAUACGUAGGGCGCAAGCGUUAUCCGG